CUACGGGAUGCUGCAGUGAGGAAUAUUGCACAAUGGGGGGAACCCUGAUGCAGCAACGCCGCGUGGAGGAUGACGCAUUUCGGUGUGUAAACUCCUUUUAUAUGUCAAGAAAAUGACGGUAGCAUAUGAAUAAACACCGGCUAACUCCGUGCCAGCAGCCGCGGUAAUACGGAGGGUGCAAGCGUUACUCGGAAUCACUGGGCGUAAAGGACGCGUAGGCGGGUUGGAAAGUCAGGUGUGAAAUCCUACAGCUUAACUGUAGAACCGCACUUGAAACUUCUAAUCUAGAGUAUGGGAGGGGGAGAUGGAAUUAGUGGUGUAGGGGUAAAAUCCGUAGAUAUCACUAGGAAUACCUAAAGCGAAGGCGAUCUCCUGGAACAUUACUGACGCUAAGGCGUGAAAGCGUGGGGAGCAAACAGGAUUAGAUACCCCGGUAGUC
rnacentral:rRNA from 1 species